rfam:Lentisphaerae bacterium RIFOXYC12_FTLL_60_16 rifoxyc3_full_scaffold_5530, whole genome shotgun sequence.
CCCCGCCCGGGCAACCGGAAGGGGAGUCAGCAGAAGCCGUAGUAGUGAGCGGAAAGCCGGGGGCUGGAAGAUGCCCGUUAAAACGGCGUAACCGGAAAUCUUGAAGCUCAUGAAGGGC